GGGACCGUGCAGGCGAGGCCGCUCCAGUCUCCAGAGAGAGCUCCUGUUUCUACAGCGACUCUCCCAGCACCCGCUUUCUCUCCCGCCCCCCGCCCUCUGGCCGCUAGGGAGGGAGACUUGGGAAAGGCACCAGAGGUUAGGCGGGUGCCGCUGGGCUCCUCCAGGGUUUUGCUGAGUGCGAUCCAGGGCUUCCUGUUCCUUGUCGCAGCGCAGUUGGGGUGUAGGGGCAGCGCUCCAGGGCCUACGUGCUGGCAUCUGUUUCCGAGCCCGAACCUGGCCGCACACCGAACUCGCGUCCCCCUUGCCACGUGGGCUUGGUCACAGAGGGGACGAACACCCUCAAGGCCCUGUGCCAGGUAAUUACCAAGCAAAUUCCAGGCGACUGACCGCCCCCCCUCCCGCCCCCAGCACCUGCUGUGUGUUCCCUGAUUCGGGCCCGCUGUGCAAUCAGCUCAGAUAACCUGCGGGGACCCGCAAUUGCUCUGGAGUUGCCAGACUUUGCAAGGUAGAUGGUGGGUGUCGGGCUCUGUGUGUGGAAAAGUGGGAGCACCUUCCUCAGGAGAGAGGCUGAAGAGAGCCCUGCUGCCUAUGUGCGGAAGACUGCAACAUCCAUGCUGAGGCUGCUUCUGUCUUUCCAGGAGGUCCUGAGUGUAUGGAUCCAAGUCUGGUCUAAGGACAGUGGGAUGACAUCCUAGGGUGAUGCUGUCAGGAACAUGUUCAGACUUAGGAUGAGGAAGAAAAUGCUUUUAGAAUCACAGGUGGAAAUAUCUGUGUCUUUGUCCUUCUUGAUCCCUUACUUACUGGAAAGGAACAGAGAAUUCUGAAUACAUCCUUUCUAAGAAGGUGUUCCUGGUAAACUAGCUCCCAGAGUCUGAGAAUGCAAGUCUAUCUGAAGUGUGGAAUCCAAUUGCCCCAACUGUAGAGGGCCCCUGUAGGUGGGAGAAUUCACUGGGGGUGGGUAGUACAUCCUUUCCCCUGAUUCUCUAUCCCUGACAAUCUGGCAGCCUGAAAUGUGUUUUGACAAAGGGCAUUCUUUGUGUUCUGACUGAGAGGGUGAUUUGUGGAUAUCCUGACUUCACCUGUUUUACUGGAAGCCCAAAGAAUGAAGCAGAUAACAGAAGAGAGGAAAUGAAGGAGGAGGCGAGAUGAGUGUGUUAAAGAGAGGCCCAGAGUCCCUAUUUCCUCCAUUCCUCCCACAAAUGACCUCAUUUAUUAUGGAAAAGGUUUAACUGAUAUUGAGUCAUAACAUGCAAGGGGGAGAAAGAGCCCAAUCAAUAUCCCUCUGGAGCCCCUGGAGAUGGCGGAUUGCUAGGAGUAGGUAGGCGGGGAGCAGAGAGGGAGGAGAGGAAAGCAUUUGGAAGAUGAUCUGGCCUAAGAAGUGGCUCUGGAGCAUCUGUGCUUUUGUUAGCCGUGGAACACGCACAUCUAAUCUCAAUUAACUUCUGCCACCAUCUCCAAUUCAGUUUCUCCGUUCUCACCAGUAGGGAGAUCUUAGCUGCAAGAGAUGAGGUGGGGGAGACCUCACAUUACCAAAUGAAAGGACCAGAUGGGCUGGCCCUGCCAGGGCAGAGAUGGUAGGGCAGAGGCAGAAACAGCAGUUGGGCUAUUUCCCCAAGCUCUUGCCCCUGUCUCUGGCUCUUUCAGUCUAAGCUUAUCAGAGGAAAUUGGACUGAUCUCUGGUCUUUGUGCUGAGGGCUUGGGAGGGUCUUUAUUAAAUCCUAAGUGGAAUCCCUUUACAAACACUGUGUUUACGCACUGAAAAGCCAUUGUAGGACUGAGUUCCAGUGUUCUAUGUGUGGAACUUAGAUGGGGUCCCCGGACUACUUUUCUGGGCCUUAAUGUCGUCUCCUCAACAAAGAAAGAAUUUGACUAGGGGAUCUACAGCUGCAUGUCUAACAGGCAAUAGCCACUAGUGACAUCCAGCUGUUUGAAUGUAAAGUAAUUAAAAUUAAAUUUAUUAAAAGAUUCAGCUCCUCAGUCACACUGCCACAUUUUAAAUGCUGAGUAACCACCCAUGGCUAGUGGCUAUUGGUCAGACUGAGUAAAUAUGGAAUAUGUCCAUCAUCCUAAAAGUUUUGUUGGACAGUACUUACCUAUAAGAUCUCUUGCAGUUCUGCCAUUUUGUUAUUCUAGGAUUGUCUGUUAUUAAGAGUCUUGAUGGAUCAGUUCCCUUGUCUCUGUGAGCUCCUUCUUCCAGAUAUGUCCUCUCCUCUGCCACCUCAUGCACAGCACACUGUACACACAAGCACAUACUCAGUGUUCGCUUCCAUUAGGGCAGUUGAGAGAUCUGAUAGUCUGGCUUAAGAGCAGUGAAGAAGAGGUAUCUGCACUCUCAUUUGUAUUGCAGCAUGAUUUAUAGCAGCCCAAACAGAAAAGUCACUGAGUGUCCACUGAAAGGUAAGCUAAUGAAGAAGACGAGGUGCAGAUACAUGAUGAAAUACUAUUCUUCCUUUAAAAAGAAGGAAAUCUUGCCAUUAGCAGCAGCAUUAGUGAACCUUCAGGACAUGAUGCUAAGUGGAAAAAAUCAGAUGCAGAAAGACAAAUAUUACCUGAUCUCAGUUCUGGGUGAAAUCUAAGAAAGUCAAACUCACUGAGAGAGUUGGAUGGUAGUUACCACAGACAAGAGAAGAAAAAGAGGAGAUGUCGGUUAAAGGUACAAACUUGCAUUUAUAAAAAAAUUAAUUCUGGAGAGCUAGUGUGUGGUAUGGUGACUAGAGUUCAUAGUCACGUGUUAUAAGCUUGAGCUAUACUUUGGUAAGAGACGUCUAUCGAAAUACCACAUUGUAAACCUUCCACAUACACAAUUGUUACUUGUUAGUUGUACCUCACAAAAGCUGGAAGAAAACAACUGCAAGUGACAAUUCAGUGUUGCUCCUGACUUUUAAUUAAAUGGCAUGGACUUUAAACUUCGUGAAUUUGUACACUGCACAAACACUUCCUGAGUGCAUAUUGUGUGUCAGGCAUUGCUCCAAGUGGGACUGGAUACGGAAUUUGGGGAAGAUCCUGGAUUUUACACAAUUUCUUGGAGAUGAGGAGGCGUGGGCUGUGUGAGUGGCAGUGUUCUCUUGCCCGUGAGGCUGUGCAGAGUGACUGGCAGAUGCAGCUUUGCCCUUGGGGGCUUGCACUUUGCAAACAACUGGCCGUCACAGAUUCUUGACAUAAACAUU